rnacentral:lncRNA from 1 species
AACUUCAGCAAGUUUCUAAACAUUACUUUCGAUUUUUGCACCCAACACUCAAGCUUUGGAAAUAAUUGUUUUGUUCUGGGAAGUGGUAUCCCAGGUGCCUCUUACCCAACAAAAUGCUAACUUUUACACAGAAAACCUGAUUUCACAGUGUGAUUAAAGAAAUAAAUUGCAUUAUUUGAAUUUUUCACGACAGGUGAUUUUUAAUGGCA